rnacentral:tRNA from 1 species
UAAUUUCUAAUAUGGCAGAUUAGUGUAUUAGAUUUAAACCCUAUAAAUGUAAGUAAUAUUACUAUUAGAA